UACGUAGGGUGCGAGCGUUUAUCGGAAUUACUGGGCGUAAAGCGUGCGCAGGCGGUUCGCCAAGUCAGGUGUGAAAUCCCCGGGCUUAACCUGGGAAUUGCGCUUGAAACUAGCGGGCUUGAGUGUGGCAGAGGGGGGUGGAAUUCCACGUGUAGCAGUGAAAUGCGUAGAUAUCUGGAGGAACACCGGUGGCGAAGGCGACAUCCUGGACCGGCAUUGACGCUGAGGCGCGAAAGCCAGGGGAGCAAACGGG
rnacentral:rRNA from 1 species